rnacentral:sRNA from 2 species
ACUCAACACUAUUGUAUUAAAAAGGGUGAGUUUAAGCUGCAAAAGCGAGCUGUCUUCGAGCAGAUACUUGACCAGUUUGUUAGCCCUAAACCUGUUUUUCAGGAGUUU